rnacentral:rRNA from 1 species
GACGAACGCUGGCGGCGCGCCUAACACAUGCAAGUCGAACGAGCGAGAGAGAGCUUGCUUUCUCGAGCGAGUGGCGAACGGGUGAGUAACGCGUGAGGAACCUGCCUCAAAGAGGGGGACAACAGUUGGAAACGACUGCUAAUACCGCAUAAGCCCUCGGUGCCGCAUGGCACAGAGGGAAAAGGAGCAAUCCGCUUUGAGAUGGCCUCGCGUCCGAUUAGCUAGUUGGUGAGGUAAUGGCCCACCAAGGCGACGAUCGGUAGCCGGACUGAGAGGUUGAACGGCCACAUUGGGACUGAGACACGGCCCAGACUCCUACGGGAGGCAGCAGUGGGGAAUAUUGCACAAUGGGGGAAACCCUGAUGCAGCGACGCCGCGUGGAGGAAGAAGGUCUUCGGAUUGUAAACUCCUGUUGUUGGGGAAGAUAAUGACGGUACCCAACAAGGAAGUGACGGCUAACUACGUG